UACGUAGGGUGCGAGCGUUAAUCGGAAUUACUGGGCGUAAAGCGUGCGCAGGCGGCGCGUUAAGACAGGUGUGAAAGCCCCGAGCUUAACUUGGGAAUUGCGCUUGUGACUGGCGUGCUGGAGUGUGGCAGAGGGAGGGGGAAUUCCACGUGUAGCAGUGAAAUGCGUAGAGAUGUGGAGGAACACCGAUGGCGAAGGCAGCCACCUGGGCCAGCACUGACGCUGAGGCACGAAAGCGUGGGGAGCAAACAGG
rnacentral:rRNA from 1 species